rnacentral:misc_RNA from 1 species
AAGUCGUAACAAGGUUUCCGUAGGUGAACCUUCGGAAGGAUCAUUACCGUAACGCGGCGGUCCGGCAACCGCAAGGAAGUCGGCCGCCACACGCGUUUAUCACCCUUGACUUUGAGCACCUUUCGUUUCCUCGGCGGGUUCGCCCGCCAGCGAGGACCCCCACAAACCCUUUGUAAUAGCAAUAUUUGUCUGAAAAACAACCAAUAAUCAAAACUUUCAACAAUGGAUCUCUUGGUUCUG